AGCAGUGUAGCUCAAAGAAGGAACAUGCAUGGCCCCACUUUUUCUCUCUGUCCCGCUGAACAAAGUGUACAACAAUCACAGUACUACUGCUAUCAUUCAAAUACCAAAAAUCAAAAAAGGAGAAAGCAAAAGCUAACCAUAACUAUCUAUCUCUCUCCAACACCACUUUAGUUCCCCAGUCAGUCACAGCUCCUUCCCUAGACAGAGAAACUAACUCACUUCUAGUGAGAGAAACGAAAAGAAAAGCACUCCUCUUCAAGCUUUUUUGUUUUUCUGUUCUUGCUUGCUUCAUCUUCCAAUCUUCUCUCCCCAUUGUGGUUUGGUUUCACACCUUCUAUGUGAAGAGAGAGGGAGAGAGAGAGAGAGAGAGAGAGAGAGUAUUGUACUAUUGUGUGUGUUUUCCAGUCUGGAGGGAACACUGAAGAAGCUCUGAGUUGAGUUCUGAAAAAAGACAACUUAGUGAAGAAGAAGGGAAACCAAGGGAUACCCAUUUUUUCUCUUCUUCAUUUCAAUGCGUUUUCUUAAUUAGAAGCCUUCAUUUAAUGAUAUGUGAUAUUGGGAUAUGGAGAGGGUUGCAGAGCCAAAGGUACUUCCUCGGUCCUUGCCUGUUCUAGUUGAGGUAUCUAAUGGACACACCGCUGCAAUAAGAGAAGCUGGUCAAAGACUAAAUGGGCAGGAUGUUUCGAGUGUGUGUGGGAUUCCAGCAAGAGAAGGGAAUCAGUUUUCAAAAUCACGGGAUGGCCCUAUGGCACGUCUUGCCUCCAUCAGAGAAGUGGCUCAGUUAUCGAAUGCACGAAUAGUUUUGGUAAGAGAGGAUAUGGGAUUCGAUACACGCUGUCAAGAGCCUCCCUCCCCUGUGCCUGUGCCUACAAGAACAUGGAAAGGAAAGGGCUCUUUACCAGAAGCUGUAGAACUUGUGUCUGAUAUUGAGAAAUUGAAGGGUAGCAAUGAUUCUUUUGUGGAAACUGGUCCAAGUUCAUUUGCUGGUGCUAGUCAUCCCCCAGAACCUGUUGAUACUGAUCUUAUGAGAACAGUUUUUGUACCAAUAGGUCAAACUAAAUCUGAAGCUGGAUGCUUAAUGAAGAGCGUGUCCUUGAAGGGUCCUUUCUUAGAAGAUCUUUCAAUUCGUGUUCUUGCAAAGAAACCAAGCCUGGCUGUUGUUUCUCCUGCAGAAAUCAUGGCUGAGGAAUCAAAUGAGAUGGGUAACUUAUCCUCACCAUUUUCAGGUGCUCGUGCAUCACAGAAUACUGAGAACUCUCCCCUUGCCCCAGACUCUGAUGAGAAAGAAUGUGUUUGGGAUGCAUCAUUGCCUCCAAGUGGCAAUGUCAGUCCUCAUAGUAGUAUUGAUAGUACUAGUGUUGUCAGAACAAUGAGCAUUGUUAAUAGUUGUGCAAGUACAUACCGGAGUGAUGCAGUUACUAGUGAUGGAAUGCUUAGUUUGGACAGGAAUUGUGAUAGCACUAAAGGAAGUGUAAGAGGGGAUUCACUUGAGAGUGCAAAAACUAGUGCUAGUCGAGCAAGUGACAGCAGUGGCCUCAGUGAUGACAGCAACUGGAGUAACAUUACUGGCAGUGCCAAUAAGCCCCACAAAGGAAAUGAUCCUAGGUGGAAGGCUAUCCUUGCCAUCCGAGCCCGGGAUGGAAUUUUGGGCAUGAGUCAUUUUAGGUUACUCAAACGGCUUGGUUGUGGUGAUAUUGGAAGUGUAUAUCUCUCAGAGCUGAGUGCAACUCGGUGCUUUUUUGCAAUGAAAGUUAUGGACAAGGCAUCCUUAGCAAGCAGAAAUAAGCUGACUAGGGCACAGACAGAAAGAGAGAUAUUGCAGUUGCUGGAUCAUCCAUUUCUACCUACUUUGUAUACACAUUUUGAGACUGACAGAUUCUGCUGUUUGGUAAUGGAAUACUGUCCUGGGGGUGAUCUACACACUUUAAGGCAACGGCAACCUGGGAAACAUUUCUCAGAGUAUGCUGCACGCUUUUAUGCUGCAGAGGUCCUGUUGGCACUUGAAUAUCUUCACAUGCUUGGAGUUGUGUAUCGAGACCUUAAACCUGAAAAUGUACUGGUCCGAGAUGAUGGUCACAUAAUGCUCUCAGAUUUCGAUCUUUCUCUCAGAUGUGCUGUUUCACCUACCCUUAUUAGAAAUUUUGACAGCGACCCCUCAAAACGAGGUGGUGGUGCAUUCUGUGUCCAGCCGGCAUGUAUCGAGCCUUCAUCAGUAUGCAUCCAGCCUUCAUGUUUUAUGCCUCGCCUCUUUGCUCAGAAAAAUAAGAAGUCACGAAAGCCUAAAGGCGAUCCUGGCUUGCCAUCCAGCACGCUUCCUGAGCUUGUUGCAGAACCAACAACAGCUCGGUCGAUGUCUUUUGUUGGCACUCACGAAUACCUUGCCCCUGAAAUCAUCAAAGGAGAAGGUCAUGGAAGUGCAGUUGAUUGGUGGACAUUUGGAAUUUUCUUGCAUGAGCUAUUAUAUGGUAAAACUCCUUUCAAAGGAUCAGGAAACCGUGCAACACUGUUCAAUGUAGUGGGCCAGCAGCUCAGAUUUCCUGAAUCGCCGGCCACGAGUUAUGCCAGCCGUGAUCUGAUCCGGGGCUUGCUGGUGAAGGAGCCGCAGCACCGUCUCGGGGUGAAGAGAGGCGCGACUGAGAUCAAACAACACCCCUUCUUUGAAGGCGUGAACUGGGCAUUGAUUAGGUGCAGCACACCACCCGAAGUUCCAAGACCAGUUGAAUGUGAUCCACCGGCAAAGUUUGAACCAGUUGAUACUGUUGGGGUUGGCAACAACAACAACAACAAUAGUAGUAAGAGGAUGGUGGGUAAUAAUAAUGACAUGAAGUCUGGGGGUAAAUAUCUGGACUUUGAGUUCUUUUAAGUUUGGAUUCCUCAAUCUACUUUGUAUUGUAUUUUCCAUCUUCAGUUAAUUUUACAAGAGAUGAAAGCUACAUUAUCAUGUUAUAUUUCGGUUUAGACACAGUUAGCAGACUUCCAUUUCAGUUGGGAAUGAUACACGUCAUAUUCAGAGUGUAUUAAAUUCUUAGACUAACAUGCAUUAUCACGACAUACACGAGGUUGACAAUGACAACAAUUACGAUGUCAUCUUAUUUUGCAUUGUCACAUGAGAAACGAGGUUGAGAAUGAGGAUAAAGAAAUUGUGACAAGGCACGACAUCAUUAUAGUAUAAGACGUCGUUUGGAAAGUUUUAAAGCAACCCAGAGAGCUUGUUUGUUCUAUCGUCAUCAAUCCAAAUACAUU